UAUUUCUGGGUAUUGAUGGUGGUCUGAGAGCCUCUCGUGAGGUUGCAGCCUUGCUGAAUUAUUCACCCUUGUCUUUUGCGUACUUCUUGUUUCCUUGGUGGGUUCGCCCACCACUAGGACAAACAUAAACCUUUUGUAAUUGCAAUCAGCGUCAGUAACAAAUUAAUAAUUACAACUUUCAACAACGGAUCUCUUGGUUCUGGCAUCGAUGAAGAACGCAGCGAAAUGCGAUAAGUAGUGUGAAUUGCAGAAUUCAGUGAAUCAUCGAAUCUUUGAACGCACAUUGCGCCCUUUGGUAUUCCAAAGGGCAUGCCUGUUCGAGCGUCAUUUGUACCCUCAAGCUUUGCUUGGUGUUGGGCGUCUUGUCUCUAGCUUUGCUGGAGACUCGCCUUAAAGUAAUUGGCAGCCGGCCUACUGGUUUCGGAGCGCAGCACAAGUCGCACUCUCUAUCAGCAAAGGUCUAGCAUCCAUUAAGCCUUUUUUUCAACUUUUGACCUCGGAUCAGGUAGGGAUACCCGCUGAACUUAAGCAUAUCAAGCGGGGAGAGAAAAA
rnacentral:rRNA from 1 species